rnacentral:lncRNA from 1 species
AAUUGGAAAAAAAUAAAACCAGAUGUCUCAUCACAACCUCCGCUGACUUCGCUCUCGUUCCAUAACGCUCUGGCCUGGUCAUCCGCUUCCGCUCUGCCGGGACCGUCCAGUCUCCACAUUGCAGUUGGAGCCAUCUCCAAACGCAAAUUUGCUUUGCAGCACAAAGACAAUGCUGUCUAUGAAAGAGAUGUGAAUUCUAACCUGCCAUGCAAGUAACCUUGACAGCUGCCAUGAGGACAUUUGUAUUUGGCAGAGAGCCUUCUUCCGUCCUUGUCUUUGCUGAGACUACCUCCUAGGGACCCUCAGUUGGAUUUACUGCCUUGGGCAGGGCCCUGUCAACAUCAUCUGUUCUCCUAAAAGAGGGGAAGCUAAAGUUCGAGACAAA